GUGUUUGCGGGCGUGGCAUCAUCAAGAUUCACAUCUAUGCACCGAUAGAUCGCUCUUUACGACAUAGAUUUCAGACCCGUUUUGGCUAGCUGGAUCUGGAUGAGAAUCUUGAUGAUGCUGCAUCCGCAGACAA
rnacentral:pre_miRNA from 1 species